ACGCUGGCGGCGCGCCUAACACAUGCAAGUCGAACGAGCGAGAGAGAGCUUGCUUUCUCGAGCGAGUGGCGAACGGGUGAGUAACGCGUGAGGAACCUGCCUCAAAGAGGGGGACAACAGUUGGAAACGACUGCUAAUACCGCAUAAGCCCACGACCCGGCAUCGGGUUGAGGGAAAAGGAGUAAUCCGCUUUGAGAUGGCCUCGCGUCCGAUUAGCUAGUUGGUGAGGUAACGGCCCACCAAGGCGACGAUCGGUAGCCGGACUGAGAGGUUGAACGGCCACAUUGGGACUGAGACACGGCCCAGACUCCUACGGGAGGCAGCAGUGGGGAAUAUUGCACAAUGGGGGAAACCCUGAUGCAGCGACGCCGCGUGGAGGAAGAAGGUCUUCGGAUUGUAAACUCCUGUUGUUGGGGAAGAUAAUGACGGUACCCAACAAGGAAGUGACGGCUAACUACGUGCCAGCAGCCGCGGUAAAACGUAGGUCACAAGCGUUGUCCGGAAUUACUGGGUGUAAAGGGAGCGCAGGCGGGAAGACAAGUUGGAAGUGAAAUCCAUGGGCUUAACCCAUGAACUGCUUUCAAAACUGUUUUUCUUGAGUAGUGCAGAGGUAGGCGGAAUUCCCGGUGUAGCGGUGGAAUGCGUAGAUAUCGGGAGGACACCAGUGGCGAAGGCGGCCUACUGGGCCCCAACUGACGUGGAGGCUCGAAAGUGUGGGUAGCAAACAGGAUUAGAUACCCUGGUAGUCCACACCGUAAACGAUGAUUACUAGGUGUUGGAGGAUUGACCCCUUCAGUGCCGCAGUUAACACAAUAAGUAAUCCACCUGGGGAGUACGACCGCAAGGUUGAAACUCAAAGAAAUUGACGGGGGCCCGCACAAGCAGUGGAGUAUGUGGUUUAAUUCGACGCAACGCGAAGAACCUUACCAAGUCUUGACAUCCUGUGACAGACGUAGAAAUACGUUCUUCCUUCGGGACACAGAGACAGGUGGUGCAUGGUUGUCGUCAGCUCGUGUCGUGAGAUGUUGGGUUAAGUCCCGCAACGAGCGCAACCCUUAUGGUCAGUUACUAUGCAAGAGGACUCUGGCUAGACUGCCGUUGACAAAACGGAGGAAGGUGGGGAUGACGUCAAAUCAUCAUGCCCUUUAUGACUUGGGCUACACACGUACUACAAUGGCGUUAAACAAAGAGAAGCAAGACCGCGAGGUGGAGCAAAACUCAGAAACAACGUCCCAGUUCGGACUGCAGGCUGCAACUCGCCUGCACGAAGUCGGAAUUGCUAGUAAUCGUGGAUCAGCAUGCCACGGUGAAUACGUUCCCGGGCCUUGUACACACCGCCCG
rnacentral:rRNA from 1 species